rnacentral:lncRNA from 1 species
UCUUCAUCGGCCGCUACCCCCAUUUUCACGGCCUCCAUCUUCACCACUCAGACGCAAAUAUCUCCAUCACCUAUACCUCCUGCGUCGAUCUCUCUCAUAUCCCCUUGCAGAGUUAAAGUUCAAUCAUCCGUGGCCGUAGGCCCAAGCAGAUUGCCUCCCCCAAGACGAUCAAGUCGAUCCAGAUGCUCGUCUUCCCUCCAUCUCUGAGGAUGCGACUUUUGACGACUGAAAGGUUGUCAAAGAGCUGAUUGAGAGGACAAUGCUCCUACUGGAGCUAAGGAAAAUUGGUGGCAUGGACUUCGAUGAUUUACAAUGAUACUCUACUACUACCAUGCACCAGGUACUUUUCUCACUCUUUUUCUUAUUCUUUUGCUCCUUUCCUUCUCUUCAUCUCUCUUUCUAAUAUGGCUCUUAUGUAGAUGCUUCAUUUCUUGGUUGUCUUGUUGAGCCACGCACACAAAGUGGAGAUGAUAAAGGAUCUGCAUCGAUAGGCCGAGUUUGCCGCAGUGGAGGUGCGUGCGUAGACCAAAACGGCUAGGGGGGA